rnacentral:precursor_RNA from 1 species
CUACACCUGAUACUGAUGAUUGUAUUGUAGUUAAUUAUUGUUUUAAUGGUAGACGAUGUACCGUUAACAGUGAUAUGUUCAUGAUGACUUUAUCAAUCUCAAUAUAUAUACCGACUUAAUCUUAUGUAAAUACUCAUAGGUAGAGAUGUGCAUAUGUGCGUUUACAUGAAUGAGGAUAAGCGCGUUAUGAGAACAUGCAUUACUAUUGGUUCCGAAAGAAAUUAAUAAAACAGUAGAUAUUUUCCCAAAGAAUUAAUCCCAGUAUAAAAGAAAAGGUAAACUUGAUACCAAGAAAAGGUAGCAAGUGUUAAAGUGGCCACAAGAUAAGACAAUGACAUUUUAAAGCAAAACUGGAAUCAACCGAAUUAUGUAAUCGAGGAAGAGAACAUACCUACACCGCGCCAUUUAGGAGACCUUUUGGCAAGAGAAAAUAAUCAACAUAUACAUAAUCAACCGCGCCAUUUAGGAGACCUUUUGGCAAGAGAAAAUAAUUAACAUAUACAUAAUCAGCCAGAGAGUCCCGGCAGGGGCGACCUGAGAACACACGAAAGACCAGACCGCCUCAUCACCGUGUGUUCCCAGCUCGCCCCUGUAGGAACUCCCUCGCGUUCCAUCUCUCUGUCUCCAUCGCCGCUGCCGAUGCCGAUAACGAUGCCGAUUCCGAUUCGUUCCCUCCCCGCUCUCAGCUGCAAAAAUCUCCGGGCCUAAUUAACCUUUGCUGAUGACCGGAUUAAUGAUGGAGGCUGCGUUUGCCUGGCCAAACGCAGGCAAAGCGCUCACGUAUUAUAGACUCCUUUCCACGGGGUCGGGAGGAGGAUGACAUCGAUUGGCGUCGUACUUUUUGCUGCUCCAUCGCUGGGAAA